rnacentral:rRNA from 1 species
GACCCCUUCGGGUUAUAGGGUCAAGCAAUGAAGCGCACACGGUGGAUGCCUAGGCAGCCAGAGGCGAUGAAAGACGUGGUAGCCUGCGAUAAGGUUCGGUGAGGUGGCAAACGACCUGUGACCCGGACAUCUCUGAAUGGGGAAACCCACUCAUCACAAGAUGAGUAUCUUGCGCUGAAUCCAUAGGCGUAAGAGGCGAACCAGGGGAACUGAAACAUCUAAGUACCCUGAGGAAAAGAAAUCAACCGAGAUUCCCCUAGUAGCGGCGAGCGAACGGGGACCAGCCCUUAAGCAUGUGACUGAUUAGGCGAAUACGCUGGGAAGCGUGGCCAUAGUGGGUGAUAGCCCCGUAGCCGAAAAUCUGAUCAUGUGAAAUCGAGUAGGUCGGGGCACGAGAAACCUUGACUGAAGACGGGGGGACCAUCCUCCAAGGCUAAAUACUCCUGGCUGACCGAUAGUGAACCAGUACCGUGAGGGAAAGGCGAAAAGAACCCCGGAGAGGGGAGUGAAAUAGAUCCUGAAACCGUGUGCGUACAAGCAGUAGGAGCCCACUUGUUGGGUGACUGCGUACCUUUUGUAUAAUGGGUCAGCGACUUAUAUUCAGUGGCGAGGUUAACCGUAUAGGGGAGCCGUAGGGAAACCGAGUCUUAACUGGGCGACACAGUCGCUGGAUAUAGACCCGAAACCGAGCGAUCUAUCCAUGAGCAGGGUGAAGGUUGAGUAACAUCAACUGGAGGCCCGAACCAGGAUCUGUUGAAAAAGAUUUGGAUGACUUGUGGAUCGGAGUGAAAGGCUAAUCAAGCUCGGAGAUAGCUGGUUCUCCUCGAAAGCUAUUUAGGUAGCGCCUCACGUAUCACCGCCGGGGGUAGAGCACUGUUUCGGCUAGGGGGUCAUCCCGACUUACCAACCCGAGGCAAACUCCGAAUACCGGUGAGUGCCAGCGUGGGAGACACACGGCGGGUGCUAACGUCCGUCGUGAAAAGGGAAACAACCCAGACCGUCAGCUAAGGUCCCCAAAUCCUGGUUAAGUGGGAAACGAUGUGGGAAGGCUCAGACAGCUAGGAGGUUGGCUUAGAAGCAGCCAUCCUUUAAAGAAAGCGUAAUAGCUCACUAGUCGAGUCGGCCUGCGCGGAAGAUGUAAC